rnacentral:rRNA from 1 species
GACCAGACUCCUACGGGAGGCAGCAGUGGGGAAUAUUGCACAAUGGGGGAAACCCUGAUGCAGCGACGCCGCGUGAGUGAAGAAGUAUUUCGGUAUGUAAAGCUCUCUCAGCAGGGAAGAAAAUGACGGUACCUGACUAAGAAGCCCCGGCUAACUACGUGCCAGCAGCCGCGGUAAUACGUAGGGGGCAAGCGUUAUCCGGAUUUACUGGGUGUAAAGGGAGCGUAGACGGCAGCGCAAGUCUGAAAUGAAAUCCCUUGGCUUAACCAUGGAACUGCUUUGGAAACUGUGCAGCUGGAGUGCAGGAGAGGUAAGCGGAAUUCCUAGUGUAGCGGUGAAAUGCGUAGAUAUUAGGAGGAACACCAGUGGCGAAGGCGGCUUACUGGACUGUAACUGACGUUGAGGCUCGAAAGCGUGGGGAGCAAACAGGAUUAGAUACCCGCGUAA